rnacentral:rRNA from 1 species
UACGUAGGUGGCAAGCGUUGUCCGGAAUUAUUGGGCGUAAAGCGCGCGCAGGCGGUCCUUUAAGUCUGAUGUGAAAGCCCACGGCUCAACCGUGGAGGGUCAUUGGAAACUGGGGGACUUGAGUGCAGAAGAGGAGAGUGGAAUUCCACGUGUAGCGGUGAAAUGCGUAGAUAUCUGGAGGAACACCGGUGGCGAAGGCGGCAUCCUGGACCAACACUGACGCUGAGGAGCGAAAGCCAGGGGAGCAAACGGG